rnacentral:lncRNA from 1 species
GAUCAGGCUCCUGCUCUAAGGGCUGCCAGACGAAAGCCUUGGAGAAGAAGGAAAAAGCAAACUUUCAGAUGUGAAGAGCUUUCUGAACUGAAAGAACAGAGCCGGCAAUGAGAUGCACAAAGGAUGGACAGGCAAAGGGUAGGUUAUUCUUUGUACAGAGGAUGAAGAAAUCCAUGUGCACAGAUUGGACUUCUCCCUUGGGCCGCGGAGAUGUUCCCAACUGUCUCCCGGACAUUUCCAGCUCAGAGUCAACAGAUGAUUGGAGAGUUAUCUCAUCUGCUACAUAUUUACUUAGUCACAUCUCCUAACUGCUCCAAUCACCCAAGAGCAAAAUCUAAGUGUCUGCCUUAAUAGUUCUUAUCAAUGCAUCACCAUUCACAGAUGUGCAUGCACUUAUACAUACACUCCUUCAAUCCAUCCUACGUGGUGUUGAUUGUAUCUCCAAUACAUUCUUCAUAACCCUUCUUUCUUCUCUGCCUUCUACAGUCCCUAUCCUGGACAAGACACUAAUAAUUUCUGAGGGGUAUAAUUUUAAUACAUUAUUCUCUGAACUCCCUACUGACAAUUCAUGUUCUUCACAUUGCAAAUAAAGUUCUCGCUCUCUAAAAUGGCAG